AGUGGAGUCCAUUCUAAUGGCUUCUCUCUUGUAAGAAGGGUUCUGGCCCGAAGUGGCCUUUCCUUGACAGACAAACUUCCUGGUGAAGGCAUUACAUUAGGAGAAGCUCUUAUGGCCCCAACUGUGAUAUAUGUCAAGCAGGUGCUAGACAUAAUUAGCAAGGGAGGUGUAAAGGGCAUAGCCCACAUCACUGGAGGUGGUUUUACAGA
rnacentral:misc_RNA from 1 species